AAGCUCGUAGUUGAACCUAGGAAUCAAUGGGUCGGUCAUGCCAAUGGUAUGUACUGGCCUCUUUGGUUCUCACCUUCUAAGGAACCAUAAUGUCAUUUAUUUGAUGUUGUGGGAAAUUAGGACUGUUACCUUGAAAAAAUUAGAGUGUUUAAAGCAGGCCAACGCUUGAAUACAUUAGCAUGGAAUAAUGAAAUAGGACAUCGCAUUCUAUUUUGUUGGUUUCUAGGAUCGAUGUA
rnacentral:rRNA from 1 species